rnacentral:rRNA from 1 species
UACGUAGGGUGCGAGCGUUAAUCGGAAUUACUGGGCGUAAAGCGUGCGCAGGCGGUGAUGUAAGACCGAUGUGAAAUCCCCGGGCUUAACCUGGGAACUGCAUUGGUGACUGCAUUGCUGGAGUAUGGCAGAGGGGGGUGGAAUUCCACGUGUAGCAGUGAAAUGCGUAGAGAUGUGGAGGAACACCGAUGGCGAAGGCAGCCCCCUGGGUCAAGACUGACGCUCAUGCACGAAAGCGUGGGGAGCAAACAGG